rnacentral:rRNA from 1 species
GAUGAACGCUGGCGGCGUGCCUAACACAUGCAAGUCGAACGGACUUACAUUGAAGCCUAGCGAUAUGUAAGUUAGUGGCGGACGGGUGAGUAACGCGUGGGUAACCUGCCUUGUACUGGGGGACAACAGUUGGAAACGACUGCUAAUACCGCAUAAGCGCACAGCUUCGCAUGAAGCAGUGUGAAAAACUCCGGUGGUAUAAGAUGGACCCGCGUCUGAUUAGCUUGUUGGUGAGGUAACGGCCCACCAAGGCGACGAUCAGUAGCCGGCCUGAGAGGGUGAACGGCCACAUUGGGACUGAGACACGGCCCAAACUCCUACGGGAGGCAGCAGUGGGGAAUAUUGCACAAUGGGGGAAACCCUGAUGCAGCGACGCCGCGUGAGUGAUGAAGUAUUUCGGUAUGUAAAACUCUAUCAGCAGGGAAGAUAAUGACGGUACCUGACUAAGAAGCACCGGCUAAAUACGUGCCAGCAGCCGCGGU